ACUGUAAAGUCAAAUGAAGAUAGUAAACAUGCUAAUGAGCAGCAAACCAAAUCUUCUUUAAUGGCAGAUACAAAAGAAUUUGAGGAAGCAGACACUCGCUCGUUGAUUGAGGAGAACAGACAACUGAAGGACCUCAGGAUGUGUAAAAUCUGUAUGGAGAAGGACGCCUCCAUCGCCAUGUUGCCGUGUGGACAUCUUUGUUGCUGUACGGACUGUGCUCCCGCCAUGAGAAAGUGUCCAAUAUGUCGGCAGUUCGUGAAAGGGACUGUCCGUACUUGGCUCGCAUGACUAUAUGUAACUUAUUUGUUCAAUAGUAAUAAAAAUUAUCACAUCUUU
rnacentral:misc_RNA from 1 species